AAAUUGUUUGACAAACACAUUUAAUUUGACAUAAAGUUUGAUCGUGUAUGGGGUCCCUUAGUUCCGCAAAGUCUGGAAUUCAAACUUAAAAAACAAAUUACGUCAAUGUCAAUUCAAUUGUCAAGUUUGACAAAUUGACAUUGACGUAAUUUAAAAUUUAAAUUAAAAAUUUAACUCGCGGGUUUUGGCUUUUGUUGAGGUUAUAAGUUUUUAAAUCGCAGUUAUAUCUUUAAUAACCUAUAAAUAAUUUAUUAUUAGGUUUAAUAUUAUUAUAUUCUAUGAAGAAGUCUUGACAUCUGGGGUUAUGGCGAAAGACAAAAAAAAGGGUGUAAAGGCGAAUGUGUUUAAAGUUGCUGGUGCGAAAAGCCUAAAGAAAACCAAAGCAAAGGCUGUUAAUUUAGGUUUGAAAAAUAUAAAACAAAAAGUGGCAGAUAUAGACAAGCAAUUUGUGGAAGUGCAAAACAAAAACAAACCUAAAACUAGUACAGAACAAAAACAUGAUAUUACAGUUCCUACGAAAAAACCCCAAAAUAAUGUGACAAAGGAAGAGGUUGCCUCGACAGCAGAUCAAAUUGUAAAAAUGGAUUUGUAACUUGCUAAAGGUGUUGUAAUAUUAUAAAUUAUAAAAUAUAUUAUAUUAAUUAACCUGGA